rnacentral:lncRNA from 1 species
AGAUUGAGAGUCCGUCCUUUCUGCACAAUUUCCAUGCUGGUUAUUUCAUAGCAAAGUAAAUACAGUGGUCAGGAUGAUGACUGACACCUGAUCCAAGACAAUGGGACCCUUCUGAACUCUGCUGUCUUUGAACAACACAUGAAAUACGAAGGAAACUAUUUACCAGCCAGUAAUUGCAAGCCACCCCUCAUGUAAAGCAUCUAACAAGAAACUCCCAUUGACUUCAACAUACCCUGCAGUGCAAGAAGACGACCUGUGGAUAUUACAUGACUAUUUGCUAUUCAGUGAAACUUGAGGGUCCUACUCUCCCACUGCAGGAUGCAUGUAAUACCCAUUGAAAUCAAUGGGAAUUACUCUUAUGUCCUGCAGCACACCAGGCCUCACAGCUACAAGUCAUGAACUAUGAACACUGGCAGGUGGACAAAGUGAGAGAUGUGUUUGAAGACCAAUGCUUACUAAAAGCUGAAACUUUGAAAUUAUCCCUUUUUCUCAUAGCACGUAACUAAUGCAGGAGAUCAUAGCACUUUUCUUCCAAAACUUGAAGUAUUUUGGAAACAAAACAAUGAAUGGAAUAUUUUUUUUUUUUCUAGAAAUGGAAACAAACAACUCAAUCUCUUCAGCUUUUUACUUUUGUCUGCUUUUUUGAUCAUUUUCACUCCAUCUUUGAAAAUUAAGAAAAUAGCUAGGAAAAAAAAAAAAGUUUUUCCAAAGAGGACAGAAAGC